GCCGGGAGGAUGGCUAAGCUGCUUCUGGCUUUCUGCUGCCUUGUGCCAAUAAAGGAAGGGCCUCCCUGAUGGUGCUCCUGGCCUUCAAAGCAAUCUCAUACUGAAAGCUGGUGCUUCAGUUACAUGCACUCAAAGGAGAAGAAUCUACUUUGAAUGGAAAGCUCCCGGUCUCUUAGCAGAACCUUUCUAUGCUGACUGUGGCCUUGGCUCAAGCAACAGCAAUUGCAGCUCCUGCUGGUUCUACUAAGGAGGUAAAAAUAAAGGCGACUCGCUUUCAGAGCUUCGCUCUUGUGACCAGGCUGGAGUACAAUGGCACA
rnacentral:lncRNA from 1 species